CUCGAAUACGAAAGCAAAUACAGCAUCAUGGGCACGUGAUUGUUUGUGAGUCAUGCCGGAAGUUUGGGAAGAAUAUCAUGGCAUGGCCUCUAUGGCAUGACUCAGUGUGACUCAGAGGGCAUGAGUUAGUCGCCAACUCAACAUACUUCGUACUGAAAAGAAGCACCGUUUGUCAGAUUAUUUGAAUUGGAUGCUGUUUUGUGUGUUCCGAUAGUGGUUGUGUUAAUGGUUCACCAUCAUACAGUAAACAUGCAGGUAAUUAUAAGAUGUGUACAGAUGCGCUAUUCUACACGCGUAAAAACGCUGUUCAUGGUUCACGAUAUCAACGAUAUCGACAGGCUUGAGCCGAACGCUCAAGGUUGUGCUGAACCCUAAGAUCGAAACAAGUUGUCAACAAUGUUGUUACAACAUUGUCACGACGAGGUUGACUAAUGUGCGAGCCUUCGAGCCGGAGCCUUUUAUUUGCGAGCCGGAGCCUUUCAUUUGCGAGCCGCAAACCUCUCAUUUGCGAGCCUUUAUUUAUACCUUUACAAGCCC